AGAGGAAGUCCGGUGCGAAUCCGGCGCGGUCCCGCCACUGUCACCGGGGAGCGCUCCUCCGACGAGGGCCACGGCCCGUACUCCGUACGGGCGGGAAGGCCGGGGGCGGCGCCGAUCCGGGAGCCAGGAGACUC
rnacentral:ncRNA from 2 species